rnacentral:lncRNA from 1 species
CGCGUGAGUUUUACAAGAAGGCGUGCGUCUACAUUCAGUCGACCAGCAGAUCUCAGUACGGCCACUUCUCCUCUGUGCUUUCUUCCCCUCGUGCUCCUUUACCGAUAGUACAGUGAUCCAUUCUAGAAAUACUUAGUGCAAUAAAACUGGUACAACAUAUUUUGUUACUGGCUGCAUUACAAUUGA